rnacentral:rRNA from 1 species
UUCGCCUACGGGGCGUAGCAGUGAGGAAUAUUGGUCAAUGGGCGGAAGCCUGAACCAGCCAAGUCGCGUGAGGGAGGAAGGCCCUGCGGGUCGCAGACCUCUUUGGACGGGGAGCAAGGCCGCCGACGUGUCGGCGGAAGGAGAGUACCCGUAGAACAAGCAUCGGCUAACUCCGUGCCAGCAGCCGCGGUAAUACGGAGGAUGCGAGCGUUAUCCGGAUUUAUUGGGUUUAAAGGGUGCGUAGGCGGGCUUUUAAGUCAGCGGUAAAAAUUCGGGGCUCAACCCCGUCCGGCCGUUGAAACUGG